GUCGAGCGAACAGAUAAGGAGCUUGCUCCUUUGACGUUAGCGGCGGACGGGUGAGUAACACGUGGGUAACCUACCUAUAAGACUGGGAUAACUUCGGGAAACCGGAGCUAAUACCGGAUAACAUUUGGAACCGCAUGGUUCUAAAGUGAAAGAUGGUUUUGCUAUCACUUAUAGAUGGACCCGCGCCGUAUUAGCUAGUUGGUAAGGUAACGGCUUACCAAGGCGACGAUACGUAGCCGACCUGAGAGGGUGAUCGGCCACACUGGAACUGAGACACGGUCCAGACUCCUACGGGAGGCAGCAGUAGGGAAUCUUCCGCAAUGGGCGAAAGCCUGACGGAGCAACGCCGCGUGAGUGAUGAAGGGUUUCGGCUCGUAAAACUCUGUUAUUAGGGAAGAACAAAUGUGUAAGUAACUGUGCACGUCUUGACGGUACCUAAUCAGAAAGCCACGGCUAACUACGUGCCAGCAGCCGCGGUAAUACGUAGGUGGCAAGCGUUAUCCGGAAUUAUUGGGCGUAAAGCGCGCGUAGGCGGUUUCUUAAGUCUGAUGUGAAAGCCCACGGCUCAACCGUGGAGGGUCAUUGGAAACUGGGAAACUUGAGUGCAGAAGAGGAAAGUGGAAUUCCAUGUGUAGCGGUGAAAUGCGCAGAGAUAUGGAGGAACACCAGUGGCGAAGGCGACAUUUCUGGUCUGUAACUGACGCUGAUGCUGCGAAAGCGUGGGGAUCAAACAGGAUUAGAUACCCUGGUAGUCCACGCCGUAAACGAUGAGUGCUAAGUGUUA
rnacentral:rRNA from 1 species